AUUGAACGCUGCGGCAGGCUUAACACAUGCAAGUCGAGCGCGCGGCGGACGGGUGAGUAAUGCUUCGGAAUCUGCCUAUUCGUGGGGGACAACAUCUCGAAAGGUAUGCUACUACCGCAUCCGAAUAGAUGCGCCUAAGUCGGCUUAGCUAGUUGGUGGGGUAAAGGCCUACCAAGGCGAAGAUCUGUAGCGGGUCUGAGAGGAGGCUCCGCCAAACGGGGACUGGGACACGGCCCAGACUCCUAAGGGAGGCAGCAGUGGGGAAUAUUGGGCAAUGGGUGGAACCCUGAUCCAGCCAAGCCGCGUGUGUGAAGAAGGCCUUAUGGUUGUAAAGCACGUUAAGCGGGGAGGCGGUACUCACAGAAUAAGCACCGGCUAACUCUGUGCCAGCAGCCGCGGUAAUAC
rnacentral:rRNA from 1 species